rnacentral:rRNA from 1 species
UCUUCCGGCUCGGCGCAAAAAGCAACGCGGUAUCACCAUCAGCAUCAGCCGCCGCCUCCGCAGCGGGGCUCGGCGCCGGAGCUCCCGCCGGGCUUCCGGUUCCACCCGACGGACGAGGAGCUGGUGGUGCACUACCUCAAGAAGAAGGCCGACAAGGCGCCGCUCCCCGUCAACAUCAUCGCCGAGGUGGAUCUCUACAAGUUCGACCCAUGGGAGCUCCCCGAGAAGGCGACCAUCGGGGAGCAGGAGUGGUACUUCUUCAGCCCGCGCGACCGCAAGUACCCCAACGGCGCGCGGCCGAACCGGGCGGCGACGUCGGGGUACUGGAAGGCCACCGGCACGGACAAGCCUAUCCUGGCCUCGGGGACGGGGUGCGGCCUGGUCCGGGAGAAGCUCGGCGUCAAGAAGGCGCUCGUGUUCUACCGCGGGAAGCCGCCCAAGGGCCUCAAAACCAACUGGAUCAUGCACGAGUACCGCCUCACCGACGCAUCUGGCUCCACCACCGCCACCAACCGACCGCCGCCGGUGACCGGCGGGAGCAGGGCUGCUGCCUCUCUCAGGUUGGACGACUGGGUGCUGUGCCGCAUCUACAAGAAGAUCAACAAGGCCGCGGCCGGCGAUCAGCAGAGGAACACGGAGUGCGAGGACUCCGUGGAGGACGCGGUCACCGCGUACCCGCUCUAUGCCACGGCGGGCAUGACCGGUGCAGGUGCGCAUGGCAGCAACUACGCUUCACCUUCACUGCUCCAUCAUCAGGACAGCCAUUUCCUGGACGGCCUGUUCACAGCAGACGACGCCGGCCUCUCGGCGGGCGCCACCUCGCUGAGCCACCUAGCAGCGGCGGCGAGGGCAAGCCCGGCUCCGACCAAACAGUUUCUCGCCCCGUCGUCUUCGACCCCGUUCAACUGGCUCGAUGCGUCACCAGUCGGCAUCCUCCCACAGGCAAGGAAUUUUCCUGGGUUUAACAGGAGCAGAAACGUCGGCAAUAUGUCGCUGUCAUCGACGGCCGACAUGGCUGGCGCAGUGGACAACGGUGGAGGCAAUGCGGUGAACGCCAUGUCUACCUAUCUUCCCGUGCAAGACGGGACGUACCAUCAGCAGCAUGUCAUCCUCGGCGCUCCGCUGGUGCCAGAAGCCGCCGCCGCCACCUCUGGAUUCCAGCAUCCCGUUCAAAUAUCCGGCGUGAACUGGAAUCCCUGA